CAGUAUAAAAUAUAGGCGGAUGUUUCAAAAUGACAGAGAAGACGUUCUGUGCAGGCAAAUAACAUGAAGUCUCCUGUCCCUGCAUUAAUCUUUGUACUGGUUACAUUUGUGCAUUUCAACUCAGCCUCCUCAGAAUGGACUGGAGAUUUAAACGGAAAACUCGCUUUUUGGGACACAGGCGUCAACCUGGAGGGUGACGAUCAGACGCCAUGUUUUCAUUUUUGCGCCACGGACGGAGACUGUCCUGAUCCGUUGAGGUGCACUGUGAGCGGGUGUGGGCAUAUAUGCACAGACCCAAACCAAGACAAAUUAUGGGAUUUUGAUUUCAAUAUAAAAAAUAACUCGACGGAGCCGUGCGUCGAUAGCUGCAUGACUGACGACGACUGCCCGGACAACAUGAACUGCCUCAUGAGCGGAUGUGGACGCAUGUGCUUGGACGCAAGCCAGAAUUUUCCUUUCCCUAUUGAAAUGACUGGACUUUGUGGUUCAGCCUCUAACCUGGGAAUCAAUACACUGAUGCCGUGCAUUAAUCUGUGCUACGACGAUGAUGACUGCCCCGAAAGCAAGACGUGCGCCAUCCAGGGAUGUGGACGGAUGUGUAUGGACCCAACCACUGAAGGAACUGGACUGUGGGAUCUGGAUUCCGAUCUGGGAAAAGACCCGUUGGAUUCCAUUGGUUCAGAUUUGACCUCGGGAAUGGGACUCAAUCCGUGGGAUUUGGACCCUACUCUGGGAAAAGACCCGUUGGAUUCCAUUGGUUCAGAUUUCACCUCGGGAAGCGGACUCAAUCCGUGGGAUUUGGACCCUACUCUGGGAAAAGACCCAUUGGAUUCCAUUGGUUCAGAUUUGACCCCGGGAAUCGGACUCAAUCCGUGGGAUUUGGACUCCACUCUGGGAAAAGACCCGUUGGAUUCCAUUGGUUCAGAUUUGACCCUGGGAAUCGGACUCAAUCCGUGGAAUUUGGACCCCACUCUGGGAAAAGACCCAUUGGAUUCCAUUGGUUCAGAUUUGACCUCGGGAAUCGAUGAUGUAUUGCCUUUGCCUUUAGAAGCCCCUAAACUGUGUGGCUCAGAUUGCAAUCCGGGAAUGGACCCAUUGAUACCAUGUCUUAAUUCGUGCUCCAGCGAUGACGACUGCCCCAACAGCAUGAAGUGCUCCGUCCAGGGAUGUGGACGGACGUGCACUGCGUCAACUGACGGAGAGCCUCCUCUGGGGGAUUUGGACUCCACACCGGACAGUGAACCCUGGAACCCCUGUGUUGAUCUGUGCUCUAAUGACGACCAGUGUCCCGAAAACAUGAAGUGUGUGAAGAAGGGAUGUGAACGGCGGUGCGUGGCCUCAAACCAAGAUAAGAGUGAUGAGUGGUCUUGGAAAUUUGACGAAGGAGAAAAUCCUGAAGGAUGGGAGUGGAGCUCCGACGAGGAAACUGGUUUCAAGGAGUCAGACAUCGAGAAGCUGUGGGUUUGGGAUGAGGAUAAGGACAGUGACAGUUCCACUGCAGACCUUUUCAAAAAGCUUGCGCAGUUAAGGAACAAUUUGGAAGAUUUGGAGGGAAGUGCCACUUCAGGAUUUCUAGGUGAGUUCUUACAAAGAUGUAUUUUGCUCCUUGGCUAUUGGCCAGUCUAUAACUGUGCAACUCCAAUCACACCCAGCAGAUGGCAGUAUUGGAACGUUGUAAUAGAAAAGCCCUGACACUGGCGCCACAGUUUCUUCAGCCUCAUAUGGGUGCAAACUGAAGGCGUG
ensembl:lncRNA